rnacentral:lncRNA from 1 species
AGCACAUUAUAUGGAGUAAUAGGAGUGUUAUACGGAGCACAUUAUAUGGAGUAAUAGGAGUGUUAUACGGAGCACAUUAUAUGGAGUAAUAGGAGUGUUAUACGGAGUAAUAGCAGUGUUAUACGGAGCACAUUAUAUGGAGUAAUGGCAGUGUUAUACGGAGCACAUUAUAUGGAGUAAUAGGAGUGUUGUUAUACGGAGUAAUAGCAGUGUUAAACGGAGCACAUUAUAUGGAGUAAUAGGAGUGUUAUACGGAGCACAUUAUAUGGAGUAAUAGGAGUGUUACACGGAGCACAUUAUAUGGAGUAAUAGCAGUGUUAUACGGAGCACAUUAUAUGGAGUAAUAGGAGUGUUAUACGGAGCACAUUAUAUGGAGUAAUAGGAGUGUUAUACGGAGCACAUUAUAUGGAGUAAUAGGAGUGUUAUACGGAGCACAUUAUAUGGGGUAAUAGGAGUGUUAUACGGAGCACAUUAUAUGGAGUAAUAGCAGUGUUAUACGGAGCACAUUAUAUGGAGUAAUAGGAUGUAUUGUAUCAAUUGCAUUUUAAUAUUGUGGUCUCUGAGGAAGUCCCUAUGUUGUUAAAGGGACGAAACGCGUAGGACCUUAUUUAUAUUCAUUUUAUUUUUAUUUUUUUAAUAUUGAAUUAAAGCCGCUUUUUCAAAACUUCACCCGGAGUCCUGUGUUGGAGUAAAAAUAUCCAGGGGAUCUCCCAGGCCCCCCAUAUUUUCAGGGGAGUAAUAGGAGUGUUAUAUGGAGCACAUUAUAUGGAGUAAUAGGAGUGUUACACGGAGCACAUUAUAUGGAGUAAUAGGAGUGUUAUACGGAGCACAUUAUACGGAGUAAUAGGAGUGUUAU